UACGUAGGUGGCAAGCGUUGUUCGGAAUUAUUGGGCGUAAAGGGCGCGUAGGCGGUUUGCUAAGUCAGUUGUGAAAGCCCGGGGCUCAACCCCGGAGGGUCGGCUGAUACUGGUGGACUAGAGUACGGAAGAGGUAGCUGGAAUUCCCGGUGUAGCUGUGAAAUGCGUAGAUAUCGGGAGGAACACCUGAGGCGAAGGCGGGUUGCUGGGCUGACACUGACGCUGAAGCGCGGAAGCUAGGGGAGCGAACGGG
rnacentral:rRNA from 1 species